AGAUGACAUGUUCGGCCUGUCGUCUGGACUUAGUUGCACACACAGUAGUCCCACGUGAAUUGUUCUUAGCACUUCAGAUUAAUGCCAAUUAACCAAAUCUCAAGGUGAGAAAGAGAAACCCAAGACAGUGAAAAUCUAUUACUGUGUAACAAAGUAUAACAUGCCUGCAAUGACCGAGAGCUUACAUCUUGAUCACGGAUAGAGGUGAUAUUGUUAGCAUCUGAGAUUUUCCAACUGUCAUAUUAAAUACCCCUUUAACUUUUCUAAUUACUUUUUAAGCAUGGUUAAAAACUACUUUUGUUUAACAGCUAGUUGUGGGGUAAUCAUGCCUACUUUUAGUUAGUCAUAAUUUUCUUUUUGUUUUGUCCUAUCAAGGGCUUGUUAAUUUUUGUGAAAGUUCAAGUGGGUGAAAAAUUGAAAUACAUCAGAUCAGAUAUGCUUCUUUCUUUAUCUUCAUAUACGUUUAUAUUUGCUGGUUCUAUUUUACAGCAUUUUCUCAUAGAGUCUAAUACCUAUUUUAUGUUCUGUUCUGUUUUCUAACAGAUACUAAUUUGCGGAUAAAACAGCCUAAGUUUACAGUAAAUAUAAUAUAUAGAAGAACUACUUAA